rnacentral:sRNA from 2 species
UUUUAGCCCCGAUAGCAGCGGUAUCCUUUACUUGAUUUCUUUAAUCAAGUAAAGAUUUAGCGUAUAGCGGGAUUAGCU